ensembl:lncRNA
UUUCUGGUGAUCCUCAACCAUCUGACAUCUGAUUGUGAGAACAGCCCUGGGUCCUUUUGGAUCUAGGACCUUCCCUGGACCCCAUCAGGUGUAGUGGAGAGAGCAGCAGAUUAAGAAUCAGAGGAGUUCCUGGCUUCAGAUCCCAGCUCUAUGACUUAGGCAAGUCAUUUAACUUUUCUAGGCCUUGUUUUGCUGAUCUAUCAAAUAAAGAAGUUCAUUAGAUGAACUUUAAAUGUUUCUCUUAGUUUUACACUUCUGAUUCACAUUAAAAUUUUCUCUAUCCUCUCUUGGAAACAGGAAAACUAUCUUUAAGAACAAUAUUAAUUUAUCCCAACAUAUUCAUGGGAUUUGUUGUGAUCAAUGUGAGUCAAGCAUGAUACCUGGUACAUAGAAGAUGUCAAAUAAAUACUUGAUUGAUUAAUUAAUACA